rnacentral:rRNA from 1 species
UACGUAGGGUGCGAGCGUUAAUCGGAAUUACUGGGCGUAAAGCGUGCGCAGGCGGUCCGCAAAGUCUGAUGUGAAAGCCCCGGGCUCAACCUGGGAACUGCAUUUGUGACUGCAUGGCUAGAGUACGGCAGAGGGGGAUGGAAUUCCGCGUGUAGCAGUGAAAUGCGUAGAUAUGCGGAGGAACACCGAUGGCGAAGGCAAUCCCCUGGGCCUGUACUGACGCUCAUGCACGAAAGCGUGGGGAGCAAACAGG